rnacentral:misc_RNA from 1 species
GAUUAUUAAAGAUAUUCAAAAAUUUAAAGUAUGUAUAAUUGGUAUAUUUUAAGUGAAGGUAAAUAUUUAUUAUGUUAAUGACAAAAUCUUUGUGGUUGUGGAAAACCUUCAACUAGUUUUAAUGGGAUAAAUAUUUUUCUAUUGCACAAAGAAUUGUCUCUUAUCUAGAGAACAACUCUUAUGUUAUUUUUAAUUGAGUAAGAUUCUUAUUGAGAUUAUAAUUAAGGGGACUAAUACUAUAAAUAGAAUCAUUGUAAG